GAAGUAGAGACGGUCUAAGCUGGACUUCUAAUCCUCGCUACAAGGGGUUCAACUCCCCUUAUACUUCU
rnacentral:tRNA from 1 species